GCGCCGGAGGCCCAGGGCGCCUGGGAGUUUGAAGCAAACAGGCAGCCCGCGACAAUGGCGGCCGCUGGUGCAGCUUUGGGGCCAUUGGUGACGGAUCUGUACGACGUGCAGGCUUUCAAGUUUGGGGACUUCGUGCUGAAGAGCGGGCUCUCCUCCCCCAUCUACAUCGAUCUGCGGGGCAUCGUGUCUCGACCGCGUCUUCUGAGUCAGGUUGCAGAUAUUUUAUUCCAAACUGCCCAAAAUGCAGGGAUCAGUUUUGACACCGUGUGUGGAGUGCCUUAUACAGCUUUGCCAUUGGCUACAGUUAUCUGUUCAACCAAUCAAAUUCCAAUGCUUAUUAGAAGGAAAGAAACAAAGGAUUAUGGAACUAAGCGUCUUGUAGAAGGAACUAUUAAUCCAGGAGAAACCUGUUUAAUCAUUGAAGAUGUUGUCACCAGUGGAUCUAGUGUUUUGGAAACUGUUGAGGUUCUUCAGAAGGAGGGCCUGAAGGUCACUGAUGCCAUAGUGCUGUUGGACAGAGAGCAGGGAGGCAAGGACAAGUUGCAGGCACACGGGAUCCACCUCCACUCAGUGUGUACAUUGUCCAAAAUGCUGGAGAUUCUCGAGCAGCAGAAAAAAAUUGAUGCUGAGACAGUUGAGAGAGUGAAGAGAUUUAUUCAGGAGAAUGUCUUUGUGGCAGCGAACCAUAAUGGUUCUCCCCUUUCUAUAAAGGAAGCACCCAAAGAACUCAGCUUCAGUGCACGUGCAGAGCUGCCCAGGAUCCACCCAGUUGCAUCGAAGCUUCUCAGGCUUAUGCAAAAGAAGGAGACCAAUUUGUGUCUAUCUGCUGAUGUUUCAGAGGCCAGAGAGCUGUUGCAGCUAGCAGAUGCUUUAGGACCUAGUAUCUGCGUGCUCAAGACUCAUGUAGAUAUUUUGAAUGAUUUUACUCUGGAUAUGAUGAAGGAGUUGAUAACUCUGGCAAAACGCCAUGAGUUCUUGAUAUUUGAAGACCGGAAGUUUGCAGAUAUAGGAAACACAGUGAAAAAGCAGUAUGAAGGAGGUAUCUUUAAAAUAGCUUCCUGGGCAGAUCUAGUAAAUGCUCACGUCGUGCCAGGCUCAGGAGUUGUGAAAGGCCUGCAAGAAGUGGGCCUGCCUUUGCAUCGGGGGUGCCUCCUUAUUGCGGAAAUGAGCUCCACUGGCUCCCUGGCCACUGGGGACUACACUAGAGCAGCGGUUAGAAUGGCUGAGGAGCACUCUGAAUUUGUUGUUGGUUUUAUUUCUGGCUCCCGAGUAAGCAUGAAACCAGAAUUUCUUCACUUGAGUCCAGGAGUUCAAUUGGAAGCAGGAGGAGAUAAUCUUGGCCAACAGUACAAUAGCCCACAAGAAGUUAUUGGCAAACGAGGUUCCGAUAUCAUCAUUGUAGGUCGCGGCAUAAUCUCAGCAGCUGAUCGUCUGGAAGCAGCGGAGAUGUACAGAAAAGCUGCUUGGGAAGCGUAUUUGAGUAGACUUGGUGUUUGAGUGCUUCAGAUACAUUUUUGUGAAGACAUUGAAGAUACGUGGUCCCCCUGAACGUCACUGGCUAGAAAUAAUCCAAUUAUUCCUGCUUGGAUUCUUCCACAGGGCCUGUGGUCUUCACUCUGUUGCCCAGGCUGGAGUACAUCACAGCUCACUGCAGCCUUGACCUGGGCUCAAGCAAUCCUUUCAAGUAGCUGGAACUACUCUCAAGUAGCUCUCGAGAGCCUCUCUAGUGGCUGGAACUACAGCUCUCUGGAUCCAGCCUGGUUACCAGGAAGACAAAAACUGGGCUCCACCAAGAACCAGUCUUCUGCCUUCCCAACCAUCACCUCUGGCUGCAUCAGUGAUCUCUCCCAGCGAAAUAGCUGCUUGGCCUUGUGUGAAUCCUGUACUUUAACACAGUGGACCGAGUGUCAGUCAUUGAAAAUGACCGUGAGUAACCCUAUGGACUCUCUGCAGCUUGGUUCCUUUGCCCCUUAACAGGUGGUUAUGAAUCGUGUCUUCAGUGCCAGGGCUGAAUGAGAAAGGGCAUUCCUUUUUGAAGGAAUCUGAUAUUAAACACAAAGCAUGAGAAAAAUCAGGACUCAUUGGAGUUAUAUUUUUAAAAUAUAUUUUUUAAGUUAUAUAUAUUAGAUAUAUAAUAGUAUAUAUAAAUAAUACUAUGUUGCCCAGGCUGGUCUCGAACUCCUUAGCUCAAGUGAUCCUCCUGCCUUGGCUUCCCAAAGUGCUAGGACUACAGGUGUGAGCCACUGUGCCCAGCCUGUUGGAGUUCUUUACGUUUAUUUUAUAAUCAAUGCUGUUUUAUUAAAUGCGGAUUUUAUUUUGGAUUACAGGAUGUAGAAUGCCGUAUUUUUCUUAGAUCAUAGGGCCUUUCGCAUUUGUAAUUUGGCCUUGUAUGAGUUGCCCUGCAAUCCCUUUGUUUUCCCCAUAACCCUUCCAAAGGAAGGCCACAAUAGAAAUACAAAGAGAAACAAAAUAAUUAGAAUAUUUUUUAACUUCUGAAGUUCAAGGUUUUGGCAUAAGUCUGGUUUAGAAGCACAUUUGCCUAGCCCUCUCCUUCCCACCAAGGGGGAAAGUCUUCCUCUAGACAAGAGGCAGAGGGCUCCUCAGAGUCAGAUCCUGGUGUGGGCUCUUGGGUGCUGCUGUUGAAUCCCAGGGAAGGAGGGAGGAAGGGCAGUCGACACCCAAAAUAAGGGUGGGGAAUUGUCAGCAGAGGAGGUCUGUGUCAUGCUUUUCAGCGCUGGGGUUGGGGGGAGCCCAGGAGAGCAGUGAGGAUCCAGAGAUCCCUCGCCCCAGCUUGGCGCGCAGGGCAGUGGACUCAGGCCAUGUGUGUCUGGGAUAGAGCCUGAGGUGGCCUGAGCUUCCUGUGGCUCCAGAGUAACGUUAUAGAGAAGCUGAAUUCUGUUUUUCUGAAAAGGGCAUGGGAGUUAGCUGAGAAGCAGACCUGUUGGGCCUGAGAGUCUUAAUCGUCAUGUAAGGACAGUCAGUGGGAAGCCGACGGGCCGCACAACCAAGGUUCUCAUGAGGACAGCCAUGUCUUCGGGGGUGCGCUUGUGCACAGACAGCUCCACAGUCCUGCCUCCAACAUCCCAACACUACGUUGUCUCCCUGCACUUAGCAGCCCUGCAGGGUGAGAUGUGGGGAGGAUCCUGAAAUGACUGUGUUUAACAAGACAUGCUGUCCUUGUUUGCCUGGAACCUAGCAAUGUUGUUUUCUGCCACAACUUGAAUAGAUACUUGAAGUAGAGAUGAUGUUGAGUUAAAAAAAAAAAAAAAAUACGGCCGGGCGCGGUGGCUCAUGCUUGUAAUCCCAGCACUUUGGGAGGCCGAGGCGGGCGGAUCACGAGGUCAGGAGAUCAAGACCACAGUGAAACCCCGUCUCUACUAAAAAUACAAAAAAAUUAGCCGGGCGCGGUGGCGGGCGCCUGUAGUCCCAGCUACUCGGAGAGGCUGAGGCAGGAGAAUGGCGUGAACCUGGGACGCGGAGCUUGCAGUGAGCCGAGAUUGCGCCACUGCACUCCAGCCUGGGCGACAGAGCGAGACUCCCGUCUCAAAAAAAAAAAAAAAAAAAAACAUAAAAAUAUGAGUUCUUUUCAACCUGAAUAGAUGGCCUAAAAAUUCAAAUUUGCCUCAUGGCAUUUGCUCAAGGAAAACCAGUAUAGGUAGUCUUUGACCUCCUUUCCUCCCUUAUCCUUUCUUCUUCCUUCUGAGGACUAAACUCUGAUUUUUUUUUAUCUUGCCCACAUUCCUAUCUAAGGGGUCUGGGGAGUCAUGCCCUACAAGUCAUAAAUUUUUAUCAGAUGGGUUUUAUUUAACCCUAUAUAUCAUGACUAAUUUUCCAACCUGACUCUGGUAUAACCUUACAAGGAAGAAAAUCAAAAUAUUUUACCCCCAAACAUGUUUAUUUGCCGUAUUUUGAAAUGGCCCUGCAAAGCUGUUCUUUGUGGGGGGGAAAUUAGCAUCUGUAAGGAAUCUAUUAACAUAGCUAGAUCUUUAUCUUCCAGACUCUCCCAAUCCUAAAGAGAUUAACUAAGAUCUGAAUAGGAAACAUUUGUCACCUAUUGUCUCUAAGGGCAGCCACUUACAAGACUUCAAAGAACUUUUGUCUCCACAAUCUUAACCUGAACAUUGCCUUUCUGUCAAUCCCAGGUCUUUAGACAAACUCAACCAAUUUUCAACCAGAAAAUGUUUGAAUUGACCUAUAGCCUGGAAGCCCCCACCCCCACCGCUCCCCACCUCUACCCCCCCACCCUGCCCCUGGCUUUGAGUUGUUCUGCCUUUCGGGACCAAACCAAUGCAUUUCUUAAAUGCAUUUGAUUGAUGUCUCAUGCCUCUCUAAAAGGUAUAAAACCAAGCUGCACCCUGACCACCCUGGACACAUGUUCUUGGGACCUCCUGAGGGCUGUGUCAUGGGCCAUGGUCACUCAUAUUUGGCUCAGAAUAAAUCUCUUCAAAUAUUUUACAGAGUUCCACUAUUUCUGUUGACACUUCCCUCACUCCCACCAUCUUGCUGCCCUCUGACUUCCCCAAGCCCCUGUGCUCUCUUCUUGGGCUAUAGCAUUACCUCUUUCUCACUUCUAUUGCUUUCUUCCCCUCGUCAACUCCAGUGCCAUCCAACAGGGGAUGUCUCCCAACUGAAAUCAAGCCUACAGUCCUUGUGGCUUGAGCUGAAAAGAGACCCUAAGAAAAGGUGCUGAGUGGGAGGGAAACCCAAGUAUCCCUGACUUCCCAUCCUCCUGGGUCCUUAAGGUGCAGCUCAUCACCCACGUUUUCUAAAAAAUUGUUUUAUGAUCAUGUGUCAGGACAUGAAUGCCAACCAGCACAUGUCAGCUCAUACCUGGGGCCUCCCUGAUAUGAAAUCCUGCCAGGCCAACCUGUUGUGUCUCCCUAAUGGAAAGGAGUCUUUGAAGGAUUGAACUUCUGUGCAAGGAAACAUGACAUUUGUGUCAGUUGUCAUCUUCCUCCAUUUAAAAAAAUAGAACAGUUCCAGGGGUUUUUGUUAACGUGUGUUGUUCUGCAUUGGCAGGCCUAUGCAAACCUACCCCUCAAAGUCUGAGGAAGCUGAGAGGUCAGAGAAAGGCUGACAAACCCAGUUUCUCAGAAAGAAGUAUUUAAUAGGGACUUAAGAACAGAAGCUAUGUCUGUGUCUUGGGCAGUGGUGAGACAAGUUGUUGGAUCCCUGAGCCAUUAUCCCCUAAACCUAGGGCUACAGACCGUGGGGAAAAGAUGGAUGUGAAAAGAAGGGGUGUGUAGGACAAUUGCUUAAGGGCAGAACUUGAGGUAAAUACAAUAACAUCAAGGUUGUUUAGUUAGUACCUACUCUUACACAAGGAACAAUAGAUAAACUGGAAAUCUUAGAGAGCUUUCCAGAACAGAAGUUAAUCAGAAGUCAACAUGGCAGAUUCACUUCCAAGAUGGAGUUGCCUUGGCCUCCACAUGUGGGUACCAGAGACUGCUCAUGUGAUGAGGACAAAAGAGAAAGAUUCAAGGAGGAAGGAGAGACAUUUUAUAAUGUAUCAGUCUGCUCUUAGAGCACUUCAUUUUAUUUCAGUAGAGAUGUAUGCCCCCAAGACGGAGACUCAGAUGACUCCCCAAUCAUGCGGCAGAAUUCUGGGAUAAGAAGAGACAGUCAGACUUUUUCCAGGAGCAGGUGCAGGGCAGAGGACUCUAGAGAAGGGAUUCUUGAGCUUGGGUCUCACCAACCCUCACUCAAGGCCUGUGACUGUUCUCAAUCUCCCCUUUUGUAAAAUGGGGAAAUACCUUCCCUGAAUGUGGUAUUUGUGGGGUAGUUGUGAGGAUCAAAUGAGGAGUUUGCUUUCAGUCACAGGGGUCUGAUAUUCUAUGUGGGUGGGACCAAUGAAGCUUUCAGUGAUGUGUCUUCCAGGGAGGGUGUUUUUGAAAUCAAAGUGAGAUGAUAACCCUGAGAAAUAGGCUUGGACUUUUUAGCAUCUUCUUUGUUACACAUUUAUAGGCAUUGUUCUGAGAAGGGUGUCUGUAGCAUUCAGCAGAAUGCCAGAGCAGCCCAUGACCCAAAAGGGUCAAGAACUCCUACCCCAGCAGGUCAGUGAGGUGGCUGCCCCUGAUAGGUUGCCUCUUGCAGUUUAGAGCUUGCCUUUUUGCACCAAGAAUUCGAGGCAUCUUAAAGUGAAGAGUUAUGCAGCCGGGCAUCUAUCAGAAGGAUCAGGACAUGUGUGGAGGGGGAAGGUAGGAAGAGGAUGGGGGUUGUUAAUAGAGGGGGUAGUGGGGUUGGGUUGAGAGGAAAAGGGGUGGCACUAAGAACCCGAGCCUCUUUUUCUCUUGUCCCCAUGUUAUGAACAGUCUCUGGUCCACUAAAUGCGUUCGGUUCCCAGCUUCCUAACCAUCAAGAUACCAAACCGAUUAUACAGGCCCCAUUGUGUGACAGAAGGAAGCAUCAGUCAUGGGGAGAGAUGGACUUCCUGACAUUCACAUCCAAGAGAAAGAAAUUGGAUAUGAAGGCCUUCUCACUGACACAUCACCCAACCCGUCUCGGAGGUGGCUCUCUCAGAUGGGGCUGGCCAGGCAGCGACUGUCUUUCCCUGCUUCCCAUGGGUCCCUCCCAAAGCAGCAACUGAGCAGGCAGGGCCUCUGGGGGCUGAGAACUGUUCCUCACGUGCAGCCCCCUCACCAGCAUGAGUGCCUGCUCAGCUGUCUCUCCUAUUCUUCUCCCUCCAGCUCUAUGUCUGCACCCCUGGAGGGUCUGAAGGCCUGAGUAGGAGCUGGGUCCUGACUAUGAAGUCUGGAGCCCCAGAGCUGGGGGAGAACAGGAUGCCAGGUGGGAGAGACCUAACUAGGCCUUCUCAGCUGGGGGACCUCCAGAGGAGCCCCAACGCUGAGUCGCAGCCAGGCCACAGCUGUCUGAGUGCUCACAGCCUCCAUGCAGGCAGUGACCCAGCUCCAGGCAUGUUCACAUGCCAUGCUCUGUGUUUCCAGUGCCCACUCGACAAACCCCCAGCUUCCUCAGGCACCUCACACCCCACAGGUACAACACCUCUUCCGGAGCCUCAUCCCAGCACUGUCACUGUCACUGCCUUUGCGUCUUUUACUUCUCCCCGCCUCCUCUCUGCCAGUCUCAAAGCUUGUUACUAAGCUGUAUUAGUCUGCUCAGGCUGCCAUAACAAAAUACCACAGACUGGGUGGUUUCAACAACUGUAACUUAUUUUCUCAUAGUUUUGGAGGCUGUGGAAGUUCAAGAUCCAAGUGUCAGCAGAAAUGGUUUCCCCUAAGGCCUCUCCUGUUGGCUUGCAGGCAGCCACCUUCUCAGUGUCUUCGCACAGCCUUUCCUCUCUGCAGCCCUGGGGUCUCUACUUGGUCUUAUAAAGACACCAGCUGCACUGAGUUAGGGUGCCACCCUAUGACCUCAUUUAAUUGCAAUUCAUUCUUUAAAGGCUCCAUCAUCUCCAAAUGCUAUCCCAUUGGGGCUUUAGGGCUUACAACAAAUGCAUUUUUGCAGGGACACAAUCCAUUCCAUAACAGCUGAGUAUACAAGGAUAUCCUCAGAAGCAAGUAGGAACCAUGGUAUUGGAUGUCCUCCAGGGACAGGGAGGAACUAAAGGGCAUACUCCAGCAGAGAAGGACCUUCUGUCCUCCCUGCCAGUUUUUCCCCAUCUGUUUGCUCUUACCUGAAAUUCAUCCCAAGAGUUUCAUGAUAAUCACCUCAAGCUUUAAUCCUAAUUAAACAAAUUUAAAAAUCACAUUUCUUCCCUGGAAGAGGUAGCAAUUGGUUAGUUUAAUAAAGUACUAGUCAAUCAAGCUGAAUGAGAAUUCCCUUUUUUUUUUCUUUUUUGUAGAGCCAGGGUCUCAUUGUGUCGCCCAGGCUGGUCUCGAACUCCUGGGCUUUGGCAAUCCUCCCACCUUGGUCUCCCAAAGUGUUGAGAUUACAGGCGUGAGACACCGUGCCCGGCCAAAGGCCCAUUUUGAUAAAAAUACCUUAAAAUUACAAAAUGACCUAUCUGGGGGUGGGUUGUGAAAUGAAGCGUUUGGAAUAGAUUAUUUUUGUGGUCACUUGCAGCUCUCUGGAUAACCUUUAAAAUCAUACGUUGGGUCAGAAUCUCGGGAGUCAGAUCUCCAAACAGCUCAUCCCAAGAGCUUCCAGCAGGGGGCAGCAAGGCACCGUGAGCGCUGGUUCCGUAAUAUCCCUCAGCGUCAGACGAAAACACCCCCACUUUCCACGUCAAGUGGAACUAGAACAAAUCCUCCUUUGCUAUCUGUGGCUCGAGAAUGUUGUGCCCAGGCCAGGCGCGGUGGCUCACGUCUGUAAUCCCAACACUUUUGGGAGGCCAAAGUGGGAGGAUCGCUUGAGCUUGGGAGUUCUAGACCAACCAGCCUGGGCAACAUAGUGAGAAUUUGUCUCUACAAAAAAUUAAAACAAAGUAUUAUCUGGGUGUGAUGGUGCACACCUGUAGUCCCAGCUACUUAGGAGGCUGUGUUGGGAGGAUCAUGGGAGACCAGGAGGUUGAGGCUGCAGAGAACUGAGAUCACACUCUGCACUCUAGCCUGAGUGACCCAGUGAGACCCUCUCAGAAAAAAAAAAAAAAAAAGAAUGGCAUGCCCUUACAGAAAAUGAGAUUCUGAGCCAGUUAAUGAUUUGUCUCCAAGAAACCCAAAAUUAAACAGGAGAGAAACCCAAAGUUUCUUCCAAAAUUACAUUUAUUUUUCUCAAUUCAGAAAGUCUCAACGCCAUAAUUUAUCUGUUUAGUGUUUUCAUUUACAUUUGGCUUUAUCCCAGAAAGGGUUUAACAGUGUCACCAAGUUACCAGGUCUCUGUUUCAUCCUAUUUACACAAGAUGAAGGAAACUCAAUCUGUUCGUAUUUGCCCUAGGUAAUAGGUUCUAUGUAGUGACAGGCAUUUGAUUAUUUGACUUAGUGUUUGCCAAAAUGAGGUAAGGGGAAUUUGGUCCAGAGCUGAGGACAGAUCCAUUUGGAAUGAAAGCAUAAUAACCUUGAAGUUAUUCCAGUGACAAAAAAUGAUCAGUGAAAGAUUUUCUUAGAGCAAGCAGGAAUGAGGAGGCUGGCCCUCUGGCCAGCAUGAGAUGGGGUCUUACGAACAGUUUGUCAUUCAGUAACCUCCUAAUACUCGGGCAAGCCACUUCCCCUCUCUGAGAAUCAGUUUCCUCUUCUGUACAUAAGGGGAGAAGGUCAGACAACCAUCUCCGAUAUGGGAACUUAAGGGGACUUCAUGGCCCUGCAGGAAAAAAGCUCAAAUGUGUUUUUUUGCAUUGGGCCUGCGUGGGACCUAAGUGUUUCGGGAGUGAGGGGAGGCCUUGGAAGGGAAUUGCUAUUGCUAAUGAUGUUUAAGAGAUGACUUUGUGUGGGAACCACCACUCAACCCUUGCUUGUCUGCACAAUCUAUUUCCAGCCUCAGCCCCUCAAAACAAGGGAGGGAGAGACCAAGGGGUGGUUUUUAUGGUGUCUAGCCUGGAACUCUCUGUCAGUAAAAGCUGGAAGGGGCCAAAGGUAUCUGCUCAGUGCUCCCUUGCACAGCCCUGACUGCCCCGAGCACCUCAUGCUUACUUGACAAGCUAAAGUCUGGAGUAUCAGACCGGCUUGUGUCCCAUCCCUGAGGAAGUACACAGCUGCUUCAAUCCCCACUGGGGGCACCAUUUUAAGUCCGCUCAGAAAGAAACAAACACAGAGAGAGUAUCAGACAAACACAAAUUCUUUCUUUUGGUUUUAAUCUUAUUUUCGAUCCCAAACAAUCUUGUUUCUUUUCAUUACAAAAGUACUAAACAAACAUGGACAGGAGAGGAAACUGACAUUUGCAAACGACGUACCUUCAAAAGGCAUCUCAACAGCCCCAUCACCAACAAAAACACCUGUGUGCAAGGCAUAGCCAUCAGGCAGAAAAGUCUCAGGACUCAGAACUAAACCAUAAAUGCAGGAUCUUUUUAUUUCAUAUAAAAAUGAUCAGUGAAAAAAGCCAAACUGUAUGCUGGUUUUACACACUCUGACCCUUCUGACAGUCUUCUUGUCUGGCCAGGCUGGGAGCCCAGCACUCCUGGAAGGGAGAGACAGCCCAGCAUCUCAGUAUUUCAUUGGGACAAGCUGGAUGUGGCAGGAAAAGCUGAGAGCGCCAAGGUCCCCUUGCUUUAUCCCAAGCUCGGAGGGAUGCAGCCUGGUGACAUGGCCAGGCACCUUCCCGCGCAGGCAAUGUGGGCUCCUGGCCCAGGCUCACUAGAAGGUCUUCUCUGUGGUGCCUACCUAGGGAGCUGUGAUCAAGCCGAGCAGCCGUGCAAGGCGUUUCAGUCUGACCUUUUCAUUAGUUCCCCCCUCCAGCCCCUCGGAGAAGGAAACAUCAGUCCACAGUGCCAUUGUAGGAUUUGUUGAACUUGUUGAAGGUGAAGUCCACAGUGUGCGUGGAGAUAGGCUUUCUGUACAAUGGGUUUGAAGCCUACAGAACAUGGUGGGGAAGAGGAUGAGGACGCAUGUUAGCUCACACACUCAAACCGACAGACGCAGGCCCUAGGAUCCCUUCCCAGGUCAGCCCCCCACAACAGCAGCAGGCAGAGCACUCAGGAGGAGACGGCCGUGGGCUCUAGGACAGCUCUGUGUUCCCCGGGAAAGCCCUCACCUUCUCUAAGCUUCCACUAUCCACCUCUGGAAGGAGGAGUUGGGUCAGAAAGUCUCUGAAGUCCCUUCCAGCUUUAACAGAAACCAAGCCUGGGUUCAGCAGGCACUGACUCUGUGCUCAGUCCUUUGGGCGUUUGCAGCCAGCCCGGGGUGACCACACUGCAGGUGUGAGUGUUGUAAUGGACUGUAAGAAUCUGAGCUUUCUUGUGGGUCUGUGCUCUCUCUGAGACUGUUCACUCUUCCUGAGGCACGCCCAGCGCCUCUGCCCCCAUGACCCUCCUGACCUGGGUCUGGAACAGGGAUCUGUGCAGGUCACUCUGCACUGGGGCUGUGCAAUUCUCUGUCCAGAACUGGGCACAGCCUUUCUGGUGUUGAUUCUUUUGUUUUUAAUGCCAAAGGCAUUAGUGAGCCUCUAUUGCUAACGUACCACUGAAAUCAACUACGCCUCUGAGCUUGAAGUCUCUGCUUCCCAUUUCCCACAUGCUUACCAUUUCGUAGCGGGCCCUGGAUCGCUCGCUCUGGAACUUUGCAAAUUCCCUCCGGUCGUGGAUGGUGACAAGCAGCUUCCAGAUAGCCAGGAGUGCGAGCCCAACCAGGAGGAUGCUGCCGACCACAGCCAGGAGGAUGGUCAUGGCGUUGGGGGUGUUUCCACACUCUGGGGGGACCAGAAGCAUGGAAACUGCCAAGCCGCUUUCCAAAGUCCGUACCAUUCUACAUUCUCAUCAGCUGUGGAUGAUGGUUCCAGCACCGGGUCCUCAUGGGGAGCCCACAGUUAUGCCCAGGAAGCCUGGGCAGUGCCUCCUGACUCAAGGCUAAAACCACCUUCCUCCCCAAAGAGGAGAGAAACCAUGGCUGCCCGGGCAACGGCAGCACACUCACCGAUGGUGUCCACCCAUGUGAUCACCUCAUCCCUGCACAGGCUGUGGCAGGUCUGGUUGUCAGGUUUCCCAGAGUGGAGCAGCAGGCACUCGACGCAAUCUCUUUAGAAAAGAGGAAAUAAAGGUGGGUGUCAGAUAAUGUAGAACAGUCCCACACCUGUCCCCGAGCCCCCCACAGUGCAGGACCUGGGAAGGCUUUCACUUCUUUCCAGCUGCAGAUGUUCAGCCUCAGGUAAUGUUUCUGCUCUGCCUUUCUUGUUGUUAUGCUAGGAAGCCCAAGGGUUCUUGGAGGAACCUGUGUGAAUUUAGUGGCAUGUCUGGUCUACAUGUCAAGUUGCAGACCUUUCAAAUUCUGACACCAGGAGACAAAUCCAUCUGCACUCUGGUCCAUCUAAUGCCUGGUGAGGAGUCUGCUCCAAGCCAGAGGUUUCUGGGUGAUAAAACAGUAUUCCUGGACUCCCAGAGAUCCUCACACUCCCAUGGCCAGAGCUCUAUGCCCCAACAUUGUCCCAGUUCCCCACAUCCUGCCCUGGUCAUCACCCAGGGUGGGGAUCUCAACCCUCCUGCACGUUCAACUCUCCAGGGAGCUUUCGAGAGAAACUCCCAGUACCUGGGCCCAACCACACCUCCGGGGGCCGGGCUUCCUGGGCAAUUCUGAUGCAUGUUGAGGGCUGAGAUCCACUGUCCUGGAGAAUCUCAGGCUCCAGCCCCCUUCUCUCUCUCAGACGGAGCCCACCUGCCAGGUCCCCCCCAGCCUGCUGCCCACUUACCCAUGAAUCAGUCUACACUAGGCUCUGGCACAGGCUCUAGGGUGAUGGCUCCUCCCAGGGAACCCUUGUUCUUUAACAGGGGCCUCCUCUAGAAAAUGGAUGAGCAGCCAAAAAGUGACACCGUGAGCCUCUCUCCUCCCACCUCAGGCUAACAGCGGGUGGUGGCUCAGAUAGUGGGUGAAAAUGCUUAACUACAACGUUCAAUCAAAUGGUCAUUAUUAUACUUUAUAUCAUCAAAACCAAGUUCCAGACAUUCUUUCUCUGUCUUAGACAUCUGGGAGAACGGGAUUCCUGAGGUCACAGGGUGGGGAGCUAAGCUCUGGCUGCGGGGCUGUAAAGCUGAUGUUCACGGGGAGAGGUCCCAGGCUCCUCUGGUGGCUGGGGGAUGGGACUAUAAGAUGGUGAGCUCGAAGCUCCAGGGAGGAGUGGGCUGGGGCGUGUCGCUCUCAGGGACUUCGUGAUGCAGUGCUGCCUGGUGGCCUUCGAGGAGGGUGAGACCCCAGGAGAGGCCCCUAGGAAACCAGGUCAGGACUCAAGAGCCAGGUGUGCUGGGGAGGCCAUCAGAGUGCAGGGGGUGACCUCAGAACCUCAGCUACACGAGGGACAGCCGCCAUGCCCCCACAGGCCUGUGGGGACCAAAGGGGCUGUGUGUCCAGAAAGCUCUCUGGUAAAAAUACAGAGGGAUGUGCAACUGCAAUGUGGUGCCUUUAUCAUCAUCUCUUUCUUAACUCCUCGGGAUUAAGAGGCCAGCUGCUAAAACAUUUCCAGGGCAGAAACUGCGAAGUGGAGGAGCAGAACUGGAUGGGAGUUCUGAGACCAUUUCACUAAGUAAGUCCCCUUUAUUUUAUGGAGGAGGACUUGAGGUUCUGCAGCCAAGUGCCCCACCUCUCAGACUAGGCCUCUUAAGAGGUUCUAACCUGCUUAGGAGCUCAACCAUCCCUGAAAUGGCUACAAAAUCCCACUCUCCUGAGACUGCCUUUAUGGAAAUAUUCUGAAGUUAGAAACGAGAUGGUAACGCUCCCCACAGUCACAGCCCCGGAAGGCAGGCAGCUGAGACCUGGCCGGGGGCCAGGAAGGGGUGGUUCCAGCUUCAGUCAUUCAUGCUGACCCAGCUGCCCCCGAUUCCUCACCCUCCCCCGGCACCAGCCUCCCAGAUUAGCACAGGGCUAAGAAGAGGGCUGCUUUCUCUCCCGGCCAGGAUUCUCUGUCCCUCCAUCUGAUUCUCUGUUAUUAAACCACAGCUCCAGGCCGCUUUCAGGAAACACUCCCUAAGUAUUCAUGUGGACGUAUCAGUAUAACUCCUCAUAUGCCCCAUGUACUGGUUGAAACUUGUAAUAUAUUGUAGUCAUGUACUAAAAUAAGUCUGCCCUUUAAAAAAAUUAAGUUGUUUAGCAAGACUCUGCUCUGAGCCUGUUAAUUGAAAUCAGCUGGGGUUGAGUGUGAACUCACCCAAAGUGAAAAGUGUGCUUGGUUAGAUCCAGAAAAUGAAGACUGGCUGCCCUGAAACCCCCAGAAGAAAAAGGAUAUAGGACAUUCAAAACCUGGUGCCUCUUAACAAGCAGCAAGUAGAAAAAACAGACUCUGAUGCAAGUCACCAUCAAAAGGACUUUGUUUUAAAAAAAAAAAAAAAAAGUUUCACCUAGGCUGUGAAAGAGACAGAGGGUCAGUGUGGCCCAGAGAGAAAUAAGAAGGAAUAGUGGGCUGGGUGCAAUGGCUCAUGCCUGUAAUCCCAACACUUUGGGAGGCUGAGGUGGGAGAAUCGCUUGAGUUCAGACGUUUGAGACCAGCCUGGUCAACAUAGCAAGACCCUGUCUCUACAAAAAAUAAAAAUUAGCCAGGUGUGGUGGUACAAGCCAAUAGUCCUAGCUACCCGGGAGGCUGAGGCAGGAGGAUCGCUUGAGCCCAGGAGUUCAAGGCUGCAGUGAGCUGUGAUGGUGCCAUUGCACUCCAGCCUGGGUGAUGGAGUGAGAACCUGUCUCCAAAAAAAAAAAAAAAAAAGAAUCGUUAUAUUCCCUUGUGGCAUCUCUUUGCUCUCCUUGCUCCCUUCAUAUUGUGUAAUGAAUAAUAAACUAUUAAGUCUAUGUCUUCUAAGAAAUAAAUGCUUUAAACAUUUAAAGCUAGAGCUGUUUUCCCCUGGGCCUUUGACUUAAAGCCAAUCCUCCAUUGCCUGCUGCUCCAUAGGAAGGCAAGACUCAUUUGAUGGGCUCCAUGUGUAUUGUCCUAGCUUGACCCCCACUCCCCAUUAACCUAGUGUGCCCCAAGGACUAGAGGCAUAGACUCAAAAAGGUUCUGCUGCUGGGAGCUGGAGGUGGGGGCACCUCCCUUGGGUACAAAACGUGGAUAAUGGCUGACUCCGUGCUGGGAUGGCCACAGCUAUCUGGGCUCCAGAUCCAGGAUCCUAACCUUCCCCGGGCUGUUUCUACUUGGAUCUGUUUUUUCCCUGCUCUUAGCAGGUCUAAAGCGAAUCUGUUUUUCUUCUUCCUUACUCUCCCCCAUCUCCUCCAAUUAAACACAUUAAAACCCA